rnacentral:rRNA from 1 species
UACAGAGGGGGCAAGCGUUGUUCGGAAUUACUGGGCGUAAAGGGCGCGUAGGCGGCCUGUUAAGUCGAACGUGAAAUCCCCGGGCUCAACCCGGGAACUGCGUCCGAUACUGGCAGGCUUGAAUCCGGGAGAGGGAUGCGGAAUUCCAGGUGUAGCGGUGAAAUGCGCAGAUAUCUGGAGGAACACCGGUGGCGAAGGCGGCAUCCUGGACCGGUAUUGACGCUGGAGGCGCGAAAGCCAGGGGAGGCAAACGGG